CACAAAAACAAAAAGCGUUACUUAACGGCAAUUUUCAUUGUUUUUGUUCAUUUUCGCGAUCUCCAUUUGCAUUGGACUUGACGUCAAUUGAUUUAAAUCAUUUUAAUAAAUAAAACGACAAAAAGACAGGUGAUAUGUUGUUACCAAAUAGUGGUAAUAAAGUAAUUAUCACACGGAACGAUCUUUUGGUCAUAUCUUGUUAGUUGGUAGUAGAAGAACAUUUCUUUUUACCUUGGUUAGCUGUGAUUUGGAGAAAUCUGUUGAGCAUGUGAGUCUGUCAAGGAGAACCUAGCAGAAAAUACGCAACAACCUUUUGGAGAAAUGCAAAUCCUUGAGGAACGCUUCGUUUUUACAAUACUCUCGUGGUAGUCUAUUGCUUAUAGGAUCCUGCUAUUAUAAGCAACGUCCCAUUGGUAGCGGACGUCUACAACCUAAUAAGUGGUCCGAUAUUUAUUAUAUGGCAUCUCAACAUUAUAAUAACAACAAUUCAGCAGAGACGAAAUAGCGAUUUGGUAUCAACGGAUGGAAAUGAGAACGAAGAAAAAUCGUCUUUUAAGGAUAGACAUGAUAUUGUCACCAAAAACUAUGUGAAACCAGUAAUGUUCGGAUUUUUAGUUGUAUCUAGCUUAAUAUACCGAGAAGCAGAACAAAAACAACAUCUAAGUUUAAUAUAUUCGUUACCGCAAGUGGUGUAGGGUAUAAAAAACACAGAGAGCAAUUGGCACACUCGAGUUUGGCAUUGAAGGGGAAUGCGCUUGUCAAUAGAUGACAUAAGGUAGAUUGCUUCUUCUGUGCGAUAAGAUUUAACCACACAUCCCGAAAACGUUAAAAACACUGAAAUAAAUUGAACUGAACUGCGUGCUACUUUGCUCCUUACAUCUCUUUAUAUAUGGACUUAUGAAAUGAAUGAAAAAAAGAAAUUCGUUCAUCCAUAGCCUCAAAUGAUGAUUUGUUCGUUUCACACGGAAUUCAUAGGCUAUCAGAAAAAUAGACUUUGGAAAAAUGCAAUUGCAAUGGGAACAUGUUAUAUGCAUACGUCAUUAGGAUUGUGGUUUUAUCUUAUGAUGUUUAAAAGCCGUAAACUUUUAUCGUGGACUAUUUGAAUUGUUAAAAUUCGAUGAAGAUUCGGGCGUUGAAGAGGAUAUGUUUCGUAUUAUUAAUCACAUUUUGGAAAAUGAUUGCAAUAUUAUGGUUAUGGAUGACCAAAAUGCGAUAACAGCCGACGUCGACCAUUCAUGUGAUAUAAUCGUAUUAUAAUUGAAAGUUCAUUUGCCAUCGUUUAAGACUAUAAAACGAGUAACCAGAAAGUAGCAUUACUUCUUAAUGUGUUAGGUAUUUAACAGUUUCGAAUGAUGGCCACGAUCAAAAAAGUUUAUUGUCGGAAAAGAACAACGGUAGGCAAGAAAAUUCAAAAUGCUAAUUUGGUAAACAAUUUCUUAUAUUUUCCUG